rnacentral:piRNA from 1 species
UGGUCUGUGCCUUUUGGACAAGAACUACGUC